GGAUGUGAGGGUGAUCUGGCUGUGACACUUGUCAUCACAUUGAUCCCCAGGGUUGAUUUGGCUGAUCUGGCUGGCUAGGUGGGUGGCCCCUUCCUUCUACACAGCUCCAUGUGCUGUGUGCUUGGUUGAAGAAGACGAUCUUCCCCAAUAGAGGAGGACCUUUCCUUGUUCACAGGUGUACAAGUAGCUCCUGCUAGAACUUCCAAACAAGGUUCAUUUGUAGGAGAAUAUACAGCAGUCAAGACUCCCGGAUUCCACAUCCAGAAUGAGGUGUUGCAUUUGGCAGUUUCUGCUUU
rnacentral:snRNA from 10 species